rnacentral:rRNA from 1 species
UACGUAGGGUGCAAGCGUUAAUCGGAAUUACUGGGCGUAAAGCGUGCGCAGGCGGUUUUGUAAGUCUGUCGUGAAAUCCCCGGGCUCAACCUGGGAAUUGCGAUGGAGACUGCAAGGCUAGAAUCUGGCAGAGGGGGGUAGAAUUCCACGUGUAGCAGUGAAAUGCGUAGAGAUGUGGAGGAAUACCGAUGGCGAAGGCAGCCCCCUGGGCCAAUACUGACGCUCAUGCACGAAAGGCGUGGGGAGCAAACGAGGAU